AGAGGAAAUCAGAUGAAGUCGAUCCUCGGCGGGUAAAGGUAGAGGAGACCACGAAGAGGAGAGGAGAGGAGAAGGGGACACAGUCGGAGAAGGAGAAAGAAUUGGGAAGAGUUGGGGAAACCCAUCUUCCACCCUAAAGAAACAUGGCCUGAGUUAUCGCCAGUGCCUUCAGGUAUGUGGCAGUAAAAAUCAGAUCCUGCUGUUGCUUCUGCUGUAACGAUGAUAAUGAGAAAUUAGAAUCUUUCGGUCAAGAGAAAGCUUACCCUGCCGGCGGAUGACGAAAAUCUAAGAUGGCAGAGUCCCCCAAAUGCAGCAGUUUCGUUGCGGACCAGCCUAGGGGGACCUGAGGCAGAUAAAGGACCGUUCGCAGCGUUCGCAGAUCCACUGGGACGUCGCCCGGUCCUCGUCUACCAAUUUGAGAAGAUGCAAAAUGCUUCCAUCCUUCUUACUUGGCUAUCGCAGACAACUUCAUGAAAGCACGUUUAUAAACUCCCCACGGAGCGGAGGUGAACGUGUUUGAUUAUCCUGUGUCUGGGGUACCGGUAGAGCCAACCUUUGCAAUGACCAAAUCUUGAAAUUAUAUCGAAAGGAAAUAUAAUUUGUGGAAUAAAAAUGCAGUUGCUUGA